CGACGUAGUUGAUCAGUGGCUCGAGGACGACGCUGGCGGCGUGCCUAACACAUGCAAGUCGAACGGAAGCAAGACUUCGGUUUUGCUUUAGUGGCGAACGGGUGAGUAACGCGUGAGAAACCUGCCUUUCAGUGGGGGACAACAGUUGGAAACGACUGCUAAUACCGCAUAAUGUUAUCGAGCGGCAUCGCUUGAUAACCAAAGCUUUAUGUGCUGAAAGAUGGUCUCGCGUCUGAUUAGCUAGUUGGUGAGGUAACGGCUCACCAAGGCGACGAUCAGUAGCCGGUCUGAGAGGAUGAACGGCCACAUUGGGACUGAGAAACGGUCCAGACUCCUACGGGAGGCAGCAGUGGGGAAUAUUGGGCAAUGGGCGAAAGCCUGACCCAGCGACGCCGCGUGAGGGAAGAAGGUCUUCGGAUUGUAAACCUCUGUUGACAGGGACGAAGAAAAUGACGGUACCUGUCGAGGAAGCCACGGCUAACUACGUG
rnacentral:rRNA from 1 species